rnacentral:tRNA from 1 species
UCCUUCUUAUAGCUCAGUUGGUAGAGCGGAGGACUGUAGAUUGAUAAUUACAGGCAUCCUUAGGUUGCUUGUUCAAUUCUGGCUCGAAGGAA